rnacentral:tRNA from 1 species
GGCGGAAUAGCUCAGUUGGCUAGAGCACUUGGUUCAUACCCAAGGUGUCGAGAGUUCGAAUCUCCCUUCCGCUACCA